GGCAGCACGGGUGCUUGCACCUGGUGGCGAGUGGCGAACGGGUGAGUAAUACAUCGGAACAUGUCCUGUAGUGGGGGAUAGCCCGGCGAAAGCCGGAUUAAUACCGCAUACGAUCUACGGAUGAAAGCGGGGGACCUUCGGGCCUCGCGCUAUAGGGUUGGCCGAUGGCUGAUUAGCUAGUUGGUGGGGUAAAGGCCUACCAAGGCGACGAUCAGUAGCUGGUCUGA
rnacentral:rRNA from 1 species